AUUGAACGCUGGCGGCAGGCCUAACACAUGCAAGUCGAGCGGUAGCACAGGGAGCUUGCUCUCGGGUGACGAGCGGCGGACGGGUGAGUAAUGUCUGGGAAACUGCCUGAUGGAGGGGGAUAACUACUGGAAACGGUAGCUAAUACCGCAUAACGUCGCAAGACCAAAGAGGGGGACCUUCGGGCCUCUUGCCAUCAGAUGUGCCCAGAUGGGAUUAGCUAGUAGGUGGGGUAACGGCUCACCUAGGCGACGAUCCCUAGCUGGUCUGAGAGGAUGACCAGCCACACUGGAACUGAGACACGGUCCAGACUCCUACGGGAGGCAGCAGUGGGGAAUAUUGCACAAUGGGCGCAAGCCUGAUGCAGCCAUGCCGCGUGUAUGAAGAAGGCCUUCGGGUUGUAAAGUACUUUCAGCGGGGAGGAAGGUGUUGAGGUUAAUAAUCUCAGCAAUUGACGUUACCCGCAGAAGAAGCACCGGCUAACUCCGUGCCAGCCGCCGCAGUAACAC
rnacentral:rRNA from 1 species